GACGAACGCUGGCGGCGUGCUUAACACAUGCAAGUCGAACGGAAAGGCCCUGCUUUUGUGGGGUGCUCGAGUGGCGAACGGGUGAGUAACACGUGAGUAACCUGCCCUUGACUUUGGGAUAACUUCAGGAAACUGGGGCUAAUACCGGAUAGGAGCUCCUGCUGCAUGGUGGGGGUUGGAAAGUUUCGGCGGUUGGGGAUGGACUCGCGGCUUAUCAGCUUGUUGGUGGGGUAGUGGCUUACCAAGGCUUUGACGGGUAGCCGGCCUGAGAGGGUGACCGGCCACAUUGGGACUGAGAUACGGCCCAGACGCCUACGGGAGGCAGCAGUGGGGAAUAUUGCACAAUGGGCGGAAGCCUGAUGCAGCAACGCCGCGUGCGGGAUGAUGGCCUUCGGGUUGUAAACCGCGUUCGCCUGUGACGAAGCGUGAGUGACGGUAAUGGGUAAAGAAGCACCGGCUAACUACGUG
rnacentral:rRNA from 1 species